AAUAGAUACCCUGGUAGUCCACGCCGUAAACGGUGGGCACUAGAUGUGGGGCUCUUUCCAUGAGUUCCGCGUCGCAGCUAACGCAUUAAGUGCCCCGUCUGGGGAGUACGGCCGCAAGGCUAAAACUCAAAGGAAUUGACGGGGGCCCGCACAAGCGGCGGAGCAUGCGGAUUAAUUCGAUGCAACGCGAAGAACCUUACCAAGGCUUGACAUAUACGGUCUAUCCCUAGAGAUAGGGAGUGCUUCGGCGCCGUAUACAGGUGGUGCAUGGUUGUCGUCAGUUCGUGUCGUGAGAUGUUGGGUUAAGUCCCGCAACGAGCGCAACCCUCGUCCUAUGUUGCCAGCGGGUAAUGCCGGGGACUCAUGGGAGACUGCCGGGGUCAACUCGGAGGAAGGUGGGGAUGAGGUCAAAUCAUCAUGCCCCUUAUGUCUUGGGCUUCACGCAUGCUACAAUGGCCGGUACAAAGGGCUGCAAUACCGCAAGGUGGAGCGAAUCCCAAAAAGCCGGUCUCAGUUCGGA
rnacentral:rRNA from 1 species